rnacentral:rRNA from 1 species
UUUAUGGAGAGUUUGAUCCUGGCUCAGGAUGAACGCUGGCGGCGUGCCUAAUACAUGCAAGUCGAGCGAACAGACGGGGAGCUUGCUCCCCCGAUGUUAGCGGCGGACGGGUGAG